rnacentral:lncRNA from 1 species
CACCAGCCCCGCCCACCAAAUGGGGCAACCACGCCCCCAGCCUCCCCCAUGGCUCCGCCCCACCAGGAUAACUGACCAGUGUCCAGUGGCCUGAAAGCCAGGGUCACCCUGUCCCGCUCGGGAGCAGGCGCCCUGCUGCCUGGCCACUCAAGGCCCAGAGGCCCCUUCCUGGGGCUGGGGCGCCCCACUGGUCAUCGCCGAGGAUCCUCCCUUGCCGCUCCCUCCACCUGGGGAAGCUCCUGUCCACCUGCCGCGCUCUACAUGAUUAAACACGCACGGUUCAUUUGCCCUCCAGCUUUUCAGACAGAAAUUGAGGAAAAUACAGACAAGUGGAGAGAGAUGUCCGACAUUCAGAGAAAUGGACACAUUCACGCAUGGCUGCUAGGAGCAGGGCUCUCCCCAAAAAGUGUUCCUCAAGGAAGCAACCUAGAUGCCCAACCAUAAGGGAUCAGUUUAAUAAAUCAAGGAAGAGCCCCCCAGACGGACGAUUAUGAAGCCUUUCAGCACAAGAGGGGAGACUGGUAUUGCUGGGUGUGGGAAGUGGGCCUCCACUGACAAAUCAUGUGUACAGUGUGAUUCCACUUUGGCUAAGAAAAGAAAAGAGAAAUAAAAAAAUCUAGAAUGAAAUAGACCAUCAUGCUAGGAUCAGUGAUUUCUGAGUGUUGAUUUUAUUUUUAAAAUUUCAUGCACUCAACAGAGCUUGAUGGAGGACCCGGCGUGGGCCAGCCGGCCAAGGGCAGGGCCGCUGUCUGAAGGUCACC